rnacentral:rRNA from 1 species
AACGAACGCUGGCGGCAUGCCUAACACAUGCAAGUCGAACGAGACCUUCGUGUCUAGUUGCGCACGGGUGCGUAACGCGUCGGAACCUGCCCUUAGGCUCGGAAUAACUCCCCGAAAGGGGUGCUAAUACCGGAUAAUGUCCUCGGAUCAAAGAUUGAUCGUCUUUGUAUGGGCCCGCGUUGGUUUAGCUUGUUGGGAGGGUAAAAGCCUACCAAGGCUACGAUCCAUAGCUGGUCUGAGAGGAUGAUCAGCCACACUGAGACUGAGACACGGCCCAGACUCCUACGGGAGGGAGCAGUGGGUAAUAUUGGACAAUGGGGGAAGGCCUGAUCCAGCAAUGCCGCGUGAGUGAUGAAGGCCUUAGGGUUGUAAAGCUCUUUUACCCGGGAUGAUAAUGACAGUACCGGGAGAAUAAGCUCCGGCUAACUCCGUG